CUGCUUUUACACAAAAUUAAUUAAAUUAUUAAGUCAUGUUAUUGAUUUGAUAUUUACAUUUAAUAUGAAGAAUAUUAUAAAUUAAAGGCUUUAUUUUUGGAAUAAUUUUGGAACACGCAUUGUAUGUAGGCAAUCUAUAGCACUUGAAUCUCAUUAUUCAUCAAGGUAAAAUAAUUUAUUUUCUUAGAUCACCUACAGUUGACCGAAUCAAGUGCAGAGAGUAAGGUUGAUGCAGAAAGUGAGGUCGAUGAAGGAAAUCUCACAUAUCCACAGACUGAUUCUACAGAGAUGAAAAGAACAACACAACCUGUUGAAGCUUCAGGUUCUGCAGGACUGCUGAAUGCUAGGCAACUUGUUGAGAAACCUCCAGGCAUGUCUGCGCCAUUAUCACAAGCAUGUGAAAAUGCAGAUGGAAAGGGCAAAGAACCCAGCAGAAAACUAAUGGAGGACAAAGAGCCUAGCAGAAAAAAGACAACGAAUAAACAGUCUGGUAAAUGCUCCUACACAUACACGUCACUAAACACCAAGUUACUUAGGGUGCUUUCACAACUGCCUCAUUUAGUUCGGUUGAAUCGUACCAGAGUUCGUUUCCCCCUUUGGUGCGGUUCGUUUGGGCAGGUGGCACCAAAGGCGGACCAAACAAGCGUACCGAGACCUGCUUGA
ensembl:lncRNA